rnacentral:misc_RNA from 1 species
ACUUCAGGAUUUUCAUCCUUUUGUUGUUCUACUAUGUACCAAACAAUUCUCCAAAGGGUCCUUGGGAUAUCUUUCCUUAAAUUCUGCUUCCACAAUCUCAUCAAUAACAUCCACCCUUAAACAAGGAUCAACUCCAUGAUAUUUCUUCAAAGUCUGAUUCAAAUUAAAUUCCACUUCCUCUUCUCCAACUUUUAAUGUCAAUCUAUCAUUCUUUACAUCAA